CAUCAGAAUUCGGUCUGUGGUGUUCGUUUUGUGUGGGGCUGGAUAAAGAAUUUGAACUGCGCAGGCAGAGAAAAGGAAACAGAUGUCCAUUGACAAGAUUGUAUAUAGGGCCAUCAGACCAGAAGAAGAGACAAGAGCACUAGCAUCCAGCAGCAAAUGGCGCAUUACAACAGAGCAUCAGAAGCUGUGGAAUGAAAGAUGGCCACGAUGACCACAGUGAGGCUGAAUUAAUCAACCAGGGGGAUUUACCCACAUGGAUUGCACAGCAGCUGCUUCUAAGUGCUGAUGGUUCUAAUAAUGCAAAUAGAUCUGAGAAGAAGAAAAGGACUGUGUUGACUUCAUGAAGGCAUCAGAACCUGCAUAUGCAGGUCAUCUUUCUGUAGGUUUCUGCUCUGCUAUUCCUAUAGGAAAGUGGUAUCCUGUUUCAUUCAAGAGGUGAAGUUUUUUAAAUCCAGGUUGGGAAAGCAAUGCAGACAGGAGAAGAAAUCA